UGACCGCUUGGCUUGUGCUUCCCUCCUGGUCCUCUCAACCAGUGCGUGCAGGUAGAGCCCAUAAAUGUCGUCUCAUCGCCCGGGCUCUCUCUGGGCUAAUUGCUGGUUGUUGCGCCCUAUCCUUGCGGGACCAUUUGCUCCUGCCUCCGGCAACCUGCGGUGGCAGAGCCCUUCAGUCACUGGUUGGGGCUAUUUCUAGAAAUGGCUUGACCUUUGGAGCUGCCAAAUUAUAACGUGAAGGCGAUACGACUCCCCAGCCAUGGGGCUGUGUCUGCAUUUAUACCGUGGCUUCAGACACCGAGCAACUACAAAUGAAACCUGCUGUGUCACCCGGUGAUGUCCCAGUCCUCACUGGGUCUGGGGCAGAGGAGCACUGGGGCUUGGCACAGCCAUGGAUGCGAUAGCAAAUAAGCUCUAGCUCCUCCUUAUUUCCAUUUAGAUAAUUAAGGGGGAGGUAAAAGCGUAAUUUCUUGGGAAUUUGUUCUUUGUUUCAAAAAGAAAGGACAGAGCUGCUUUUUUUUUUUUUUUUUUUUUUAAUUGCUGUGUAUUUCUUCAGCUCAGUGUAACACACCCCGUGUCAGGGAUGGUCAUAACAUGAGCCAGGCAAGACCAAGAUGUCCCUCCCACCAGCUGAGAGAUGGGAGCUGGGGGGGAUGAAGAAUUCCCAAGAGAUUUUUCCCUUUCUGGAGUGAAGGUGCAAAAUAUCCCAGUGCCUGUGUUGCAUUUAACUGCGCACGAGUGUUCAGCAAGCACAGUGAGAACAGAUGGUGGCAGCUGAAAGGAGCUGGAGCUUGGAGAUGGGAUUAGGAGGCAGCUGUUGGUGUUGUGAUGGAGCGUCUCACCCUCAGAGAGCCGGAGCAGAGUUUACACAGGCUGCUGGCAUGGCAUGCGAGACAUGCUGGAAAGCUCGGGGAUGGAUGGCUCCAGCCCUGCCAGCACCACCGGGGAAUCGCAACCCGGGAUGCGGCCCUUCUCCCACGGGGAGGAUCAGCGCCUGCCUUGUAGAGCCAGUGGGUAAUUUGUCAGAGGAGCUUCCAGAUGAAGAGUCCUAGGAGGGUGCGAUCCCUCCUCCAUGGACUGCCCAGGCUGGGCACGCUGGAGGAUGUGAGCACAUUGCUUAUGAGCAUGGGGCCAAAGCUGCUGCUGUGACUGUCAUACCCACGCAGGACAAGUUCAGAUGAUCCAAAUACAUCUCUGAAAAUGAGGAAUGGGCAGCGAGGCCGGCUUGGAGGGCGUGCAGUCUGCUCUGACAGCAACUCACGUGCCUGGUCCGCUUCCCUCGCUGGCCAGACCCCCCUCCAUGCGACAGCCGUAAAAGAGCUGCUGGAAGGCUCCCACACAGAAAUAAACCAUUUACAAGCUCCCGUGGCCUCGUACGUAGGGCCAAGGUUAACAGCGGAGGGGAAACCUGGCUGCAGAAGAAAAGCCUGUUGCAUCUGAAGGCUGGAAGGAGGAAAUUUUGGUUUAAAUGACCCAUGCAAGGUUUAAAGCGUGGCUUAACAGGGAUCGCGUCGUGGAAGGUGGCAGGGCAGCCGGGAGCAGAGCGGGUGAGGAUGCUGCCCACAACCUCUCGCUCAGCAUCACCCCCAUCCAUGGGGAUGCUCUGGCCCUGCCAAGGCACCCGGGGAUUUUAUGGGUGACCUCAACAGACCCAAUGCCCCACAUCCAUCCAAGGGUUAGCUACCAAAAUCGUGACUUCAGCUGGGAUUUGAAGCACCUGCAGCCAGCGCAAGCUACCCUCACCUCCCUGCCUCGCUCUGCCAGGGCAGGAUUCUCAGGAUCCCAGGCAAAAUUCCUCUUGAGGAUAAGAGUCGUGGAGGUGGAUCAGAAGUUAAGCCCAGCACUUGCAUGGGGCUCUCGAGCUACAGCGACAGCCACCACGCUCUACAAACUCUGUCGGUGUUAUUACGUGGGAACAGAGAAUUGAAGCUAAACCCAUCCAUGCCCUGGCUCGUGCUGUGCUCGCAGCACGCUUGUGCAGGACCGCGGGCUCAGCCCC